rnacentral:rRNA from 1 species
GGUGCGUGGUUGUCGUCAGCUCGUGUCGUGAGAUGUUGGGUUAAGUCCCGCAACGAGCGCAACCCCUGUGGUUAGUUGCCAUCAUUCAGUUGGGCACUCUAGCGAGACUGCCGGUAAUAAACCGGAGGAAGGUGGGGAUGACGUCAAAUCAUCAUGCCCCUUAUGACCUGGGCUACACACGUGCUACAAUGGUUGGUACAACGAGUUGCGAGUCGGUGACGGCGAGCUAAUCUCUUAAAGCCAAUCUCAGUUCGGAUUGUAGGCUGCAACUCGCCUACAUGAAGUCGGAAUCGCUAGUAAUCGCGGAUCAGCACGCCGCGGUGAAUACGUUCCCGGGCCUU